GACUCGAGAUCCCACCUCACUGCAGCCAAUGAAAUAGUGAAAAAUUUUGACAGCUCGACAACAAAGGACUGCCGGGAGGCUGUGUACAUUUUGGCCAUAAUUUCACUAAAUACGCACGUGAGAUUCUAAGAAUUUCACUCAGUUGGUUGAAUGAUGUGGAACUUGAAAUGUUGUUAAUAGACGUGAAAUAAUGAAGACAAUGAAACAAAAUCCAAAUGAAGUUUUUAUGUAGGCAUGAAAGGAGAUUCAAUUGACUAUAAUGGAUGACGGAUAAGUGAAGCAGGAUUAUUUAGUAACUGAUUUCAGUUUGACACAGUAUCAGGACUGAGAAUCGGACCUGACCUACCCAGUUCCAAAGCAAACACCUGAAGCCCUGAACCAGUGAUUCAAUUUUUACUUGUCACUACCUGGAAAGUCAAUCCAGGGAACUCCUUGAAGAAGGAAAAUAUCACCCAAGAGUCAUUAGAAUUGCUGUGUAUCAAGCUUAGGGAUAGUAUUUAAUUUCAGUGAUUGUACAUUGUUACCAGUAGUGUAUGGAGAUAGCAUAUGGGUCAGAAAGGAGUUUGUAGAGUUUUACUGUAAUCAUACCACCCAGUGAGCUAAGAGAAAUGGGGGUACUUAUAUAGGGAAGAAUGCAGUAUUUAUAAUGCUGUGUUUUUAUUACUGCAUGAAAUUAUCAAUUUCUAAUUAAUGAAUCAACGACUGCAGCAAAAAUACUACAACAUCAGGGCAUUAAAGUUGAUAUUUGCCAAGUCGAUCUUCAGCAACACGUUUCAGAAAGCUAUCCUAAAAUCUUUUUUACCACAUAAAAAUUCAUUGUAAAAGCUUUGCACAUUAACAAAUGCUUAAUGAGGCCAAUUUUUGUUCUGAAAUUGUUAGAUUCAUGGUAAUAAGGUGUUCUUAGUUUAUUCAUCUAGCAAUUACAUUAUUUAUGUCUGUGCAGGAAAAAAGUCAAAUUUUUGACGGCAGUACAACAUAGUAGAUCUACAUUGUAUAUAUCAUUUCAGGAGGUUCAGACAUCCUUGAUAUAAGAGUUUGCUGCAUGGAUAUAAACUUUGCUAUUAUUUUUCUUUGAGGCAUUUUGUCAAUAGAAUUAGAUUUGUUUAUUCUCUUUAAAAAAGCCAUACACAGAUUAUACAGAAUUAAUGAGGAGAUUGUGGUGGAGAUUAAGGAAAAAUUAAAGUAGGAGAAUGAUAAAGACAGUGAUUUGAUACUAGGAAAGGCUAUCUUUUUAUUAAAGGUUUAAUAUUUAUUUUUAACCGUAAGGUGUUGCUUUACAUUACUCUUAAGUAACAAAAAGAACAAAUCUGAACUUGAAGGUUGCAGAUUGGCCUGUUAUUGAAUCCUGUUAGAUAGUGCAUGAGCUAUUGUAGACAAAAUACUGUGUACCUCAAUAAAAAGGGCUUUAUUUACAAAAAUAUCUGUUUUUAAAAUUUGAUGAUGUGUGAACUCAAAGAUUUUUGAUGCUUUUUUUUUCUCUGAAUGUUGAUCAACUAUCAACAAAACAAAUUUUGUGCUACAGGAGAAUUGAUCUUCCUUGCUUAUUAAUAUUCUGUAAGGUAUUAAUUCUAUUCCCCGUAGAGGUUUAUUUCUUUUUCCUCCUGAUGCCAUCAUGUGAUAUGUGUGCCUUAUUUCCCAAUUAAUUGUCAACAUUUUACUCAUUAAAAAAAUUGUUAAAGGUAACAAAAUGCAGGUACAUCAGCUUUAUAUAGCAUCGGUCUAAAUUUGUGGUACUACACUAAAACUGGUGACGCCUCAAUAUGAGUGAAAAAUUGUCGAAGGGACAUAGACAAACGUACUAUUUUUAGUAGUAAAGCAUUGUAUCAAAUACUGUGUAAUCCAAAAUAAUGUCUGGAGGUAUUAAUGUGUGCAUUAAAAUGUGGCUUCAGGGAGGAAAGAUAAUCAUUUAAUAUCUUUAUUUAUCUUUCAAGAAAAUGUGUAAAUUGAUAGGUACAUGUAAAGCAAUAUUGAUUACAUGAAAAGAUUAUUGAGGCACAGGAAUUAUUUAUGAUUUGUAUCAUUCUUGAUAAGACAAGAAUUUUCUCUUACUGGACUUUGAUGGCUGGAGACAGCCUUCAAGGUCACCUAUCCAACAACUGGAGUGAAUUAAGAAUUGGGUGUUCCUUGGAGGGAAAAUUUCCAUCUAUUGUGUCAUUUCUUCUUGCAUCAGAAGAAACAUACUGUUUGAUACGCAGUGAUACAGGAAAAAGAUGCCCGAUUCCAGAGAAAAUUGCCAUCUUUUGACAUUUUUAUCCUAGGUGAUAUAUGAAAUAUCUUAGCAUCUAGGCAUUUCCUGGGAAAUCAAUUCCAUUUUUCUGAGGCAUAUAGUGAGAAUGGAUACUGACUGAAAGAAAGCAAAGAAUGAGAUAAUACUGGGGAUUAAUGCACUUACAUACAGGCAGAUUAUUAGCUAUAAGGUUUUAGUCUCUUGUACAAAAGUUUAGAUUAUUAAUGAAGGUACUACAGACAGUUGCGGUCAUGAUAUCUUGGUGACUCACUGCCAAGAGUGAGCUCUAAAUGAGGAACAUCAAUGAAAAAAAUAAGUUUUUCUCCAAGUAAAAGUAAGAAAAAUCAAAUAUGAACUGUGUAGGAGAUCUUUAAAAGUUGACAAUAUUCUCACUGAAUAGUCUUUGAAAAGAAGCACUUACAAUGACAAAUCAAAUCCCUUUUACCCCCUGGUCUGUCACAGUUAACCCCCUUAGUUGAUAAAUACCCCCAACAUAAGGCCUUAAACCUGAUUAAAUCUGUUUGGUGAAAGUCCUUGUAGGCCAUAUCAAAGAAGUUUUCUUGAGAGAUGGAUAGGGCAGGUGAAAUCAGAGAGCCAAAAUUGCCCAAUCACUGUCACAUGUAUGUUUUAUUGAUAAUGUAUACCAAGAACAGAUGGGGCAGGUGUGAGGGAAUUGUGUAGUGGGACUUGGUGUUAGACACGCUUUUGGAAUGUGUAGUCCAAAAGUCUAAGUGCCAUUUACUGCCCAGGGCAGGGCAACUGCAAAAACUACCAUGAAAUUUUGUCACACAUCAGACCAAAUUGCAAAAUUUUGGAAGCAGGUGCUGUUCCAUUAUAUCAGAGUUACAUGUACAAUGUUAAAAGGUCUAGGCCACCUACAUGUACUGUUGUCUCUCUCACUCCAGGCAGGGGUCAAAUGACUGUGUGACCAAGGCUAUCCAACAUGCUGCUGGUUGCAUGACAGACAUUUCAGUGUUUGAAAGUGACCUUGACUAAAUAAUGUCACUGCCUACUGUGUAUGCAUUUGGUUCAGAUGAAUAAGUUUCUUUGAUAGAGUAGAUGAAAAAAGGGUUGGGAAACAUUAUUCACUUGGCCUGUUGGCUCAGUGGUAGAACUGUCAACAGAGGGAGUGUGGAUAAAAUAUCUCGCCUUCUGUCUGACCCACAACCAAACAUCCUACAGUCAAUAUACACGCUUUAAGGAACAAUUGUCGCCUAUUAAUGCUCCAAUGUAUACCUAUAUAAUGUUACGUGCUAAAAGGGAACAAAAACCUCAAAAAGUCGGCAAACUGUUUCCCCUGACUCUUUCUCAGAUUAUUGUCUGAAUUAAAUAGCCAAAAUUUGCUUGGUAACAAUGAAUCAGAUGUUUGGUUUUUUGCACCACUGAUUCUGUUUUUCAAGAUGCUAUUAUCAUUUUAGUUUAUUUAAGGAUCAAUUAAUGCUCGGUGCCUUGAAGGCUGAGGGCAUGCUUAUACCAUUUGUUUACUGUUUCUUUUAGCACUAGCUUUCUCACCAAUUAAUAUGCAUUGUAUGAGUUGUACCCCUUUUGUUAUGUUUAGCUUGCACACACAAGGAAAACGUGCUACAUUCUAAGGUGAUACUUGGAGUUUGAUUUCAAACAAUUAUUAAUAACAGGAUUUCUUGAUGGCUGUUCAUUUUCUGACCAUUUCGAGUAAGAUGACUUUUCAUUUGGAUUUUCCACACGAAUUUGAAAACUCUUUGUCUACACAGAUUUAAUAAAUUGUAACAUUAGAAUGGACUACAGUAGAUCUCCAAUUUUUCUCACUGAUUUUGCAUAACACAUGUUAGGGAAUCAUCUAAUAUUGAAUCUCUUCAUUUUACAACUUCACAGGUUCUUGCAUUUUAUAUCACGAUCUUAGAGGACUUCAUUACUUACUUUGUAACAGGGUCCACUCACAUCUUGUCUAGUUUAGCCAUUCAAAGUAAACAAGUAUACAUGCAAAUAAUAAACUUCAUUCAGUUUGCAUCAGUCAUUUCAUUGCUAUUUUUAAAAAAUUUUACUUGUCUUUUUAGCUCAAUGAAUGAAAAUUCUUUUUAUUGUGUUUAAUUGUUACUCUGAUGAGUCGGUUGGCUCAAAGAAUUGAAGAAUUGACAUAUCCAAUAGUUUCAUUUAUGACACUGGUAGACUGGUAUUAGAGGGGAAAAUUACACAAUUUAAGGUCAAAAAUCAAAAUUUACGGUCACAGGUGACCCUUAGAUCAUAUGACAUUCUCACAUCAAAAUUGUUCCAAGUUGCAAACUUUGGUGCAAGGAAGGUGAAACAAAACACCUAUAUAAUCUUGGGCCAUCAAGUCAAAAUAGCACAUUAUUCCCUUAACCAAACAACUUGGCCUGGUAUCACUGUGUCGGUUUUCUUGUCUGACAGAAAGUUGCUAAGAUAUGACAUAAAAAUUGCUAGUUUAGAAUUCUAUUGUAUGCUUUCCAUCGUCAUGGAAAUGGAACUUGUUCUAAGAUGAUUAACAUACACUGGGUAUAUGAUUUACAAUAAAGUGAUUACUGUUUUAGUUCUAAGCUUUUCAUCUACACUGUCUAGAUGAAAGGAACAACAGAUUACAAUUAAAAGCUAUUAUGAGGAAUAUUAUGGACAGGGAUAGGGGCAAUUAAAAGCCAGGAUAAUGAGGAAUACAACCCCAAUAAUCAGUUCCACCUACUCAAGAUGUUUUAAUCUGAUGGUUUAUAAGUUAAGGUCAUUAAAUCUCAGCAAAACUGUGAAGGGCCAUGUCAUCCUCUUUUUAUGAUAUUGAACAUGCAAGUGUCAGAUUUUCAUUAUUAUAGUGCAUUUAGAGCUAUUUAAAUCUAUGUCGCACUGGGAAGUUCAAAGUGAUUUAGUUAAAUUUUUUGAUAAACUUCCAAAAAGGUCAUAAAUCGGGUAUCAGCUUUUCAAUUUUUUAACUCUUCUCUUCAAAUAUCUUAGAAAUAUUUGCACUCAACAACAUUUACCAAUGAAUGAAAUGGGGACAUGCACUUGGGUAAUAAUAGUACAUGUAUUUCCUUGGUAGUAAUGAGAUCCUGCUUUGUGCAAUUAAUAGAAAUGGAAUGGAAUUGAUGUAUUUGUUUCAUGUAGUAUUAUGUAGUACCAGUCAUUUUGCCUGCUGUAAUAUUUGCUCCUGGCUCUCUGUAUAUGGUACAGCCUAAGCUCACAUAUGCCCAGGGUUUGGUCAAUUAUCUUGCUACUUUCAGGUAAUUCCAUGAUUUCUGCCAGCUUUAGGGUCUCUUGCAUAACCCCUGGUAAUUCCUGUAACAUUGGAGGAAUGGAAUAUUGAGUAAUAAUGAACUAGAACAGACAUUAAGUUGUUGAUGUUAGAGAAGUAAUUUAUAGAUAAUCAAUAAGAGUUGGAUGAAGACCAUUCUGGGAGGUCUCUAGCUACAGAAGAUUGACUAUUUCUCUUAAUAUUGUUUGCCUUGGGUUUGUGAUACAGUUUAAUAAAGUUACCAUGAUAGCACAAGUUCAUUCAAGAUUGAAAAAUGAUAUCCUUAAAUUGUGUAUCCAGAAUACAUGGUAUCCUUUUGUAUGUGUGAAAUAAGAUGCUUCAGUAGGUUACAGUAAUGUCUGCUUCCAUAACGGAGCAUCAGCUGCUAGGGGGCUCCUGGUGACAACUAUCCAUUCUCAUUGGCCAAUUAAAGGCCUUGUGUCCUUUAUCAGUGUUAUCAGGGUUUAAUUCAUAAAAAAUAUGAAGGUGUUUUGUAAAAUCCAGGUGAGCAAGGGGUAGGGGUAUAAUGCCCUGUAACGGAUACUUUAUCGGUCAUCUUUCAAGGUGAAUACACUUUUUUCUUGACUGUUUGCCGCUUUGAGAGUAAUAAAGUUUACGCAUGUCUCAAAGUUUCAUAGGUUUUUUUUCUCUCGGACAGUCUCAGGAGCUAUGAUAUUUUCAAUGGAAUGGAAACAAAACUUUUUUAUUAUAUUUUUAGUUCAUGUACUGCUAUUGGAUUUGAAUUUUUAUAUAUUUUGCCUUUCUUUUUUUUUUUUUUUUACAAAAUAGCCAGAAAAUAUUGUAACUAAGAGCCAGAAAAAUGUAGCAAGCAAAACUCGGAUAUCCAUCUUUUAAGCAGGGAGGGAUAGAACCUUGAUGCUUUAGAAAACAUUGUCAGCUAGUGAAAUGAUAAUACAUCACAAGCCAAUAGAUGUUGUCAGGGGAUGAUAUCAGAUGUUGCAGGAGGUGCCAUAAUACCAAUCUCAUUAACUUGGAGCAAACAUCUUUUUAAACUGUAGAAUUGUUAAAUACAACUGUACCACCCAACAUAAAUGAAAGUAGGUUUGAAUUGACUGAAAAUAUCCUCCUUAUUAACUUCAGUUUCGGAUAAGUCUUAAUAGUUUCUGAGUAUCAGGUAAAAAAUGUUUCUCUGUUUCAUCAUGUUCUGAUCAAGGAACAAAGAAUCUUCAAGUUAUGUCAAUACACAUCACGACUCUUCACAGAAGGCAGGGACCGGAAAAUCUCACUAUUCAGUCAAAAUAUUUCUGUGUAUUGCAGAUUUUAAAGACAUGAUAAGGAAAAAGUGCAUAUGAGACCUGCAGUCCCAAGUUCUUUUCAAUGAUAAUGGCCUUGUAGUCACCAUGCUAACACAUUUGCUGAUGUCACAAGAAUCAAAUUUAUUCACGUAGAUAUUAUGAAAAUCCAGGGGUUGUUUGUGUAUUCACCCAUUGUACCACAGAUGAACAGAAUCCUGUCAAGACAAGAAGCCAGGGGUGUUAUGGUAUCCAAGAUGUGGCCACAGUAACAGCUUGGACAAUAAAAAGCUUUCCAUAAUGGAACUGAGCACCCCACCUGAACAUCCUAAACAAACGAGGCCACACAGGGCCCCAGGAGAUUUCACAGUGUAGUGUAGCAGAACCAGACAGGGAACAUGAACUGGGGAGUUCAUAUGUUCAAGUUGUAUCAACAUACAUGAGGUAUCUUUGAUUAUUGACAAGUACCUAUUUGCAUUUUAAUCUGGUGGUGAUCCUAGGAGAUGGAAACCUAAUCAGCGGAACCUGCAGUCAGCUCCCAGCCCUGGCACUGACUUUACAGCAUCAUCCCAGACAGACCUGCAAUCAUGACUCUGUGCAGGGGGGAGCUGAUAAGGACAUUUUCCAAUGCCUUGCAUGGAAUCCAUCAAAAGCAGAAGUGUGUCACCGUGGUUACAGCUACCAGUGAGGGCAGGGAGGCAGAACUUGGGAUAAAUGUGCCACUUGUCACCCUCAUCCCUCCUCCGUACCACCUUCCUGAAGGACAAUCAGCUGUAUUAUCAGACUCUGUGAAAAACAAUCCAGUUUUUGCUAUCAUUAUGCUAAUGAGUUGGCAAUUCAUAUUGAUUUCCCAUAAAAAGAAAAUCUUUUUCUAGUGCCAUAUGUUAAAGGAUUUUUUUUUUCUAUUCAUAGAAUGAUUAAAUAUAUGGACUUUUGAAA